CCCUCCCCCGGUGCAGGCCGCGCGGGCGCCGGGCGUACCUGGUGGAAGAGCUCGAAGAUGAGCUCCUCGGUGACCUUGGGGUCCAGGCGUUCACUUCUCCAAGGACUUUGGAAAGCAUCCCUGGCUCUCCCCAGCUGCUGCAAUCCCCUGGGUAUCCCAGAAGAUGCUCGACGUAAAACGGGUGUUCUCCAUCUGGAAAAAUUUUGAAAGGGGCAGUUGAGCCUUGAUUUUUCAUUAGAUCCCCUCGCGUUGCAGCAGAUCCGAUUUCCUUGUUAAUUGGGUGCUGUUCAUUUUCUCCACUUCAUUACUUGCCGCCGCACCUAGAAUUUAUAUCCAUUUGGCUUAAUCGCGUUCGCCUGGUUAAAUUCCAAACAGUCACUCGCUCAGAAAGGGAAUUACUACCUCGCUUUGCCAGGACUUCCACUUUGCCUUAAUUUCCCCGGAGCCCCGUUGGCUCCGCUCUGCCUGUUUUCCCUGGCUGGGUCCCCUGGGCCUGGCUGGGAGCGCGGGGUGCCCGUGCCAUCCUGGCUCGUUCCACGUGCCACGGCAGGAGCUGCUGGGCUCUGGCAUUGCCCAGCACAGCCUCGCCCAGCCCAGGCUUGAAAAAUGCACGGUGGGAGAGCAGGAGCCACGUCAGGUGUAUCAGAGGUGCUUUUGGGGUUCUCUUGGCUUGUUUGUGUUGCUAUUUUGUGCUCUUUUUGCUCUUCAAAGGAGCAAAGUGGAAAACCAGAAAACUUUUGCUUUGC